rnacentral:rRNA from 1 species
CACGGGUGAGUAACGCGUAUGCAACCUACCUAUCAGAGGGGAAUAACCCGGCGAAAGUCGGACUAAUACCGCAUAAAACAGGGGCACCGCAUGGUGAUAUUUGUUAAAGAAAUUCGCUGAUAGAUGGGCAUGCGUUCCAUUAGGUAGUUGGUGAGGUAACGGCUCACCAAGCCGACGAUGGAUAGGGAACUGAGAGGUUGGUCCCCCCACACUGGUACUGAGACACGGACCAGACUCCUACGGGAGGCAGCAGUGAGGAAUAUUGGUCAAUGGGCGGGAGCCUGAACCAGCCAAGUCGCGUGAAGGAAGAAGGAUCUAUGGUUCGUAAACUUCUUUGCAGGGGAAUAAAGUGCAGGACGUGUCCUGUUUUGUAUGUACCCUGAGAAUAAGGAUCGGCUAACUCCGUGCCAGCCGCCGC